AUUGAACGCUGGUGGCAUGCCUUACACAUGCAAGUCGAACGGUAACAGGUCUUCGGAUGCUGACGAGUGGCGAACGGGUGAGUAAUACAUCGGAACGUGCCUAGUAGUUGGGGAUAACUACUCGAAAGAGUGGCUAAUACCGCAUGAGAUCUACGGAUGAAAGCAGGGGAUCGCAAGACCUUGUGCUACUAGAGCGGGCGAUGGCAGAUUGGGUAGUUGGUGGGAUAAAAGCUUACCAAGCCGACGAACUGGAGCUGGUCGGAGAGGACGAUCAGCCACACUGGGACUGAGACACGGCCCAGACUCCUACGGGAGGCAGCAGUGGGGAAUUUUGGACAAUGGGCGAAAGCCUGAUCCAGCAAUGCCGCGUGCAGGAUGAAGGCCUUCGGGUUGUAAACUGCUUUUGUACGGAACGAAAAGCCCCGGGUUAAUACCCUGGGGUCAUGACGGUACCGUAAGAAUAAGCACCGGCUAACUACGUGCCAGCAGCCGCCGUAA
rnacentral:rRNA from 1 species